rnacentral:tRNA from 1 species
GGGGCCGUAGCUCAGUCGGUUAGAGCAGGCGACUCAUAAUCGCUUGGUCGCGGGUUCGAAUCCUGCCGGCCCUA